GGCUGUAGCUCGUGGUAGACCACUUGCCUUGCACGUGUGAGGUUCUGGGUUCGAUCCUCAGCACCA
rnacentral:tRNA from 1 species